GCCCCAUUAGCUCAGUUGGUUAGAGCGUCGUGCUAAUAACGCGAAGAUCGGGGGUUCGGUCCCCCCAUGGGACA